UACGGAGGGUGCAAGCGUUAUCCGGAAUCAUUGGGUUUAAAGGGUCCGCAGGCGGUCUUAUAAGUCAGUGGUGAAAGCCUACAGCUCAACUGUAGAACUGCCAUUGAUACUGUAAGACUUGAAUUUGGUCGAAGUGGGCGGAAUGUGACAUGUAGCGGUGAAAUGCAUAGAUAUGUCACAGAACACCGAUAGCGAAGGCAGCUCACUAGGCCAACAUUGACGCUCAUGGACGAAAGCGUGGGGAGCAAACAGG
rnacentral:rRNA from 1 species